rnacentral:rRNA from 1 species
UGCCAGCAGCCGCGGUAAUACGGAGGGUGCAAGCGUUGUUCGGAAUCACUGGGCGUAAAGGGCGUGUAGGCGGAACGAUUAGCGAGGGGUGAAAUCCCGGGGCUCAACCCCGGAACUGCUCUUCGGACUGUCGAUCUAGAGAAGGUCAGGGGCCGGCGGAAUUCCUGGUGUAGAGGUGAAAUUCGUAGAUAUCAGGAGGAACAUCGGAGGCGAAGGCGGCUCACUGGCUCGAUACUGACGCUGAGGUACGAAAGUGUGGGGAGCAAACAGGAUUAGAUA